UCACACUGAGGAUGAUGUCUUUCAGAAGAAUAAAUUGUAUUUCUGUUGUAUAUAAAGGAGGUUGAAGCACUGUUGAAAUUUUUUGACAUUUGCCAUGUUUAAUGCCAGAUUUUCAACUCUUUGUUUCUUAUGGAAAACCACACAGAAAGUGAAACGAUUAUUUCUGUAAAUUUUGUUCCAUUAAAGUUGCUUUAACUAAUGUAGUCAAUUGUCCCUUUCUAGGGACUUCUCCACUGUUCUCUGGAAACUGGGCUUGAAGGAAACCAACCAGGAUGUGAACUGUAAAUCCUCAUCAGCAAAGUGAAGCAGAAAGCUGGCAAACAGCUGCCAACUGGCUGGUUUCGUGUUUUAUGGGGGAGAGCUGCUGUUUGUGUUUGUCCUGAUCAGGCCAGAGCACAAUAAACUUCAGGGAGAGUUUCAUGGUGAGAGACAGUUCUUGUACCAGCACAGAGCUACAGCCAUUUCUAUGGAAAUUGAAAGUUUGAAGCUCGGGAGAAAGCAGCAACAAAUUUCCCAUCAGACAAGAAGAUGGCUCAAAGACAACAGCCCAGAGCUAACCUUCAGGUGAUCUUCCCUGUGGAUCUUCUCUGUGUGCAGAGGACACAGGACCAGCUCACCAUUUUAUUUCCUUGGAAACUUCUCUGACACCAGUCUCUUCACAAGGAGAAACAGGAAUUUUCUGUCACUCAGAAAAGAAAGGGCUCAACUUCUCUUCUUGACCUGCUCCAGACUAACAGCUUUUUGGUAUGGGCAUCACUGGCACCUGCUGGACAGAGGACCUGCAUAUCCCCAUUGGAACCACCAGCAGUUCUCCAUGACCCACUGGCCAAAUUGUUUAUUUAUUGAAAAGCACUGGACAGAAAUGUAAGUGCUUUGGGUGGAGAUAUCCAGCUUGGGGAUUAUGUUGGCAUAUAAUAUGGGCUUAGAUAUGCUGAAAUAUUUUCAGUUACGUUAACUCACAACAAAUUGCUGCUGAAAUUUUAGUAACCCAUGGAUUGAUUAAUAUUUUUAUAAGCUGUCAAGUAUCAAUUACUGUGAAGCAGAGGAUCUGUUUGCUAAACUUACAAGUUGUAUGUCUGAAGUUCAUGAUCAUUGAUUUUAUUAGAUAUGGACUUGCUACAGACCAUCUGAGAAGUCUCUUAAUCAUUUGAGAAAUAUUUGUGCCUGUUCACUUUUCUAAUUCUUCUGAUAUUUCAUUCUUAAAACACUAAUGUGGCCACUGUAGAAAGAAGCAAUUCACUGAUACUAAUGUCACAGAUAUAGUAAACUAUAGCCAUAAAAUUGUUCAGAAGUACAAGGUAUAUAACCAUAAACUGAUUAUUUGAUGUUUCCACUUCUGUAAUUACCCUGCUACAUAAAGUUGGUAUUGAAAAAAUAGUCUUCAAAAUAUUUUUAAACACAGUGAUCAUUCAUUAAAUGCAAUUAUUUGCUCUUUUUAACUCAAACAAUACAUCAUACAAUAUAGUAGAUUUUAAGUAUAUGUUGGAAUAAUAGACUGCAUUUGUUGAACUUAUAUAUGUUUACAAAAUCAAGGUUGGUUUAAACUCAAAACACACUUCCUAUUGUUACUGAAACAGCAGCAUUACUGUUGCUGUGUAUGUUGCUGACUUGUUUGGUUCCCUGCUGAAGCUGUGUUUAAAGAAGUCAGAACUGUGGAAGCUCAGUAUCUCUCCACAACUAGGACAAAAAUUUCUAAUACACUGAAACAGAAAAUAUUGAAUAUCAUUCUCCUAAAGUUCACUAUCAAAACAAAGAGCUAAAGGACCAUGAGCCAUACGCUACCUAGACCAGCCCUUAGCCUUUACAUUUCCAAACAUUACGUGAUGUGCAUGCAGCUGCUGUGCAGGCCUUCCACAGGCACAGGAUUAAACACAAUUCAUAUCAGGAAACUAAGUAAUAAUAAUUAGCUCAUUUACUAGGUGGGGGCAACCCAGAUAAGGAGGUCACUCCUCCAGGGAAUGGAGAGAAUAAAAAGAAAUUUGUGGCUAAAUGAUACAAAGGUAACAAAAGCUACUUUGCACUAUGUGACUGGUGUGUAAUUUUGGACAGUUGCCCAAAACUGGCACUGGCUGCAGUCCAUUUUUUUAAAGGUUGAAGCAACAUUGUGGGAUUGCAAAUUUAUUUCAUAUUGAAUUCAGACAGCAGGGGAGAAGAGAAAAUAAAAAGUAGAAGCCAAAGAAAUUGUAAAUAAAAAAUAAGUUACACCAAUCAAGAGAUCCUAUAUAGAGCUUUUACUGUGAAUUCACUGCACAUCCUAUGCCCUGAAAAAUCAAAAAGCCAUUUCACCAGAUAUUUUGAAAGUAUGUGGAGUGUGUACACUGUGUUUUCACACAAUAUAUUACACUGACCAGAGCACAGGCUUUGGAGGAAAGAAAAUACAACAGAUCAGAAAAUGUAAUUUUAUUUUUUUCCAUUAUUGAGGAGUUGUAUAGUUUUGUAAUUUUUCACUGUAACUAAGUAGAAUGGAAGAUGGAAGGAUUAACAUUGUCCUUUGAAGAGAGUAUAUUAUUAUUUUUGCAUAGAAAGGACUACUGCUUGUGUUACUCUUUAUACCAAGAGUGUUAGUAAAACUGGAAAAGAGAAAAUAGAAACAGUCAUCUUCUUGCCUUUCUCUUUCAAAGAGAGCAGGCUCUUAUGAAACUGUAAAAUACUCAUUGAAUUGCACUUCAGAAACACCUGGGGCUUGUAAACUAAAGUACUUCAAAACCAGUUCCAUCAUAAAGAUAGAAUCUGCUAUUUAAGUGCUCCGUAGCCAUCUGAAGAAGUCCAUCUAGUGCCUAAACCAAACAUCAACUAUCUUGUUCUUUGGUAACCUGAAGGGAAGUUUCUGAUGCUGGCAUAAGACUUAGUCUAUGUGAUAACAUUUAGUAUUGCUAGAUAUUGACCUUUUCCAUAGGAGACAUUCAGCAGUGUGACACCAAAACCCUCACAAAAUUCCAUUUCAUUAAAAGGAAACAGUUUUGGAAGGGGUGAUAGAUGAUACAUUACCACUAGGCACUUUCAGUAUUUGGUUUGUAUUUCAUGAAGAUUCUCAUCUCAAAAAUGUUAGUUUUGUCAUCAGUAUUUUUUUAAGUGAACUUGUUGUGGAAGAUGGUUCAUCAAAGCACUGUAAACAGUUUUGUCUCCCUAAAAGUAGUGCUAGGUCAGGUUACCAGAACUUCAAAUGGUAUGUAUUAAUGCCAUCAUAUAUCACAACAAGAACACUGCACGCUCCUGAAAUAAACAGAUCACUUUCUAUCUGUAAAGAUAUUUAAAUGCCCAAGGAAGACAUCAGACUACAGUUCUCUGUCUGUACCUGUAUCGGAGGAGACAUUGAACCUAAAUGCAACCUUGUUCCCAGUCUGCACCAUACCCUUUCAGGUGUGAAAGGAUGCAUUUGAAAGCUACAGAAUUACUUUGUGCCCAAGAAAGUUGGUGAAAGUACCUGUAAAUGCAGGACAGGGAGCCUGUUGCAGAAGCAGAGGACUGCCCAGGGCCGGGGCUUUAGAAAUCACUGCUGGCAUUCUGCCCUUCUCCCUGGAAGCUCUCCACAGAACCACGUGAGUUAUGACAGUGAUGUGGGCAUAAAGUAGAUAUUACAUUAGUUCCCUUUAUGUAGGAAGCUGAAAAUUAUCUGACUCAAGACAGCUGCCUUGACUGCCUGGACUUAAUAGAUUCCCUGACCAGGCAGAAAGCUGCAAAGAAAAUGAGAUUCAGUAACUCGCAGUGAUGCAAGGAGAUGUCGGUGGCAUAUAAGGGAUGUGCACAGAUAAUGUUUUUAUGGCACUGACUGUCUCAGGCUUGAUCAAAAGCUGCUAAUCUUAAUACACCUAUUUUCCUUGACUUCAAUGAGCUUUGGAUAGGGCCCUUUGAGAGCAGAUAUAAGCUAAAAAUAUUGCAGCACCAAGACCAUGCAAAGUCAGUAGAGAAAUAUGAUGAAAUUUAUCAUUAUAAUACUCAGCAGUUUGUAAACUCAUUAACAUUUGCAGAGAACAUGCUGUUUUACCUGUGACCUAUAAAUUCUGGAAAGCUCAGGAGAAUUGCCACUCUGAGAAAUGUUGAUGGCAAAGGUAUUUUGGGGGAAGUAUGAUGAAGCCAUGGGGCAUAGUUUAAUUGUAGUUGUUAUGGGAUGCAAAUGACAAGUCAUUCUGCAUCUAAACAAUUCAUGAGAUUCCACAGAACGGGGUUCAGGUUUGUGAAAUUCCACAGGAAAGUGGGAGUCAGGUUAGCAAGACAUUGCCUGCAAAUUAAAACACAUUCCAUAGAGUAGGGACCAUUUACAGGGUCAAUGACCCAUUAACAAAAGGGUAAGUGAUAUUAAUGCCCCCCAUUCCAACUAUGCCAAAUGUUUUUUUCAAACCUGCUAGUACUGAGGGCAAAAAGUAUAAAUUCUGGGCUAGAUCAGUAAUACCAGAGGCACACAGGGAUCUCAUGUAGGCACUAAAAGAAUAUUGGAGGACAAAAAAAUGACACAGCAAGCAUGAAGCUAUUUACAGACUGAAUAGACAAUUGUGAAUCUUUUGCUGCAGCAUAAGGCAUUGGAGAGUCAGCAGCCAUUGUCUCAUGAGAAAGAACAUAUAUAGUGCUUGAAACUACAGGAAAAGAAUUUUUUUUUUGAAACUUAUAGUUUUACCAGUAUGUUAAGAUAUUUUUUAAAGGCAUUAAAGACUGCUGAUAGAUUUUUUUUUUUGUUGAGUUGCAUAUAUUGCAUGCUGCGUAUGCAAUAUUUACAGAUCCUUAUCAUUAACAACUGUUCAUAACUAAAGGAAAAGCUGGAGAGACUUGUAUUUUCACAAUGUGCUUCAUAGCAGCCUCAAAGUUAUGCCACCCUGGCUCCUAGAGUUAAAGCACUUCCUGGGGCUGCUGCUCCAAGGACAGUGUCCUUGAUGCUCUGUUGUUCUUCCCUUUAAAAGGGCUGCAAUCCCUGGAGCUCACUACAGUUCCUAAAAAGGGUGGCACAGCUCUAGCUAUUUUAGGGAACUUCUGACUAACUCCACCUGAGUUUCUGGCCCUUCUCACCCCAAGCCAUGCAGGAAUGGGUCUUACAAUCUUUUCCAUAGUUUGGAUAUCAUGCACUACCAAAAACUGGUCCCUGUCCUGGCCAGGAGCAAUAAUACAAAGCAAACUAAAACUGCCAGUCUCCUGCUGGUUGUGUAUAGAGCUGAGAGAGCCUCAUGUAAAUGGUUUGCUGCACUGGGUAUGUCAACAUGGUUUUUGAAGUACAUUUGUGUAGGCAAAAUCCAAAUAUAAAGCAUCCCAAAUUACAGCCACCAAUAAUUGUGCCAUACCAAAUUACCACAGACUCAGUUUGUGUUAUGCUAUAUAUAUGCUAUAAUUUCUGGGGAAUUACCAGCAUUAAGGAAUCAUUUCCACAUUUUUUUUAAUUAAUUACUUCUGUGAUCCAACCUGUAUGCCAUCUAUUCUCUGUGUUCCAGGAAUCAGAGUAACUACUAAAAACUCUAGAACAUUAUUUUAUUCUCAAGAGACAGAGUAUUAAUUUGGUAUCAAGUUAGCAAAUGCUUUUAGGAAAACCUCAAAGUUUGGGAGUAUCAGAAUAGAUCUCCUAGAAUUAUUUGACAAAGGCAUGUGAGUUGAUCAAUCAUGCACAGAUAUUCAGGAAAUCAGCUGAUAUCCUGAGUCUCACAGCCAUAUAUGCAAUAGGAAUGUAUUUGUUGUGUGCAUAGAUUUACCUACAAUGAAAGAAAUAGAGAAAAAUUAAAAAGUUUUGAAAUGUAGCCCUGUCUUUCUUAAUUCAGCUUUUGGCUUCACUGCUGAGACUUCAAAUGUGCAGCUGGAGGAAGGGAGAAACAGGAAUUUCUGAUGUGUACAUUUGUCCAGUAGGAACUAGAUGGAACUGCCAGCUUAUUACACAUGGACCACUGAACACCAAGCAAACACUACUCUCUCCCUCCUGCACAUUUGCAGUGUCUGUGGAUUUCCUCAUAUAGUUACUUAUCCUAUUAGCUUAAGGGAAAAGCUGUAAUUGCAUUCACAUGAAAGCAAAAUCUUCAGAAUAUGCUCUUUCCAUUAGUAUUCUUCUCCUUUUUCCUAUUAUUACUUAGGGUUUAACAGAACUCUCAGGAUUAUAAGUAUAUUUUACACUUCGAGUUUGUAUUAUUAUAUGAUACCAAAGGAAGUAAAGAAAAAAAUUAAAGAAGUAUUUAUGAAAAAAAAAAAAGUUGUCACUAAAAUCUGACUCCUAUACAGAAACAUAGCAGCAGUUUGGCUUCACAGGCACAUGCUGAUUAUAGGAGCUGCUGGGAAAAAUGAUAGGACUUGGAUAUUACAGAGGGUACCUGGACAGAUCACAGAUCUAAUGGAACUGGUUUCUCCUUUGAAUCUAUGAACCCACCCAGUCCAUGCCACUAAGGGAUGGUCAGAGAUGGAGGUUGGCCAGUGUGAACACGCUGCUGUGGAUCACAGCUCUACCCAUUCACUUCUCCUUUCUUUCUUCCCUGUCAAGGGAAUUUAGCACUGAGAUUGCUUUAGCCUAAAGCCCGGAAUAAGAGGGAGAAGAGAAAGCACCAGGACUCCACCUUUCCCAAGAGCCCAGGGACUCUGUCAGCCUGCCACAGACCAAUUUCCCCAAGUAACAACUCCACCUGAAAUGCAGUCUGUCAGUAAAGCUAACAUGCUUCUGUUUAAAAAAACCUCUAUUUUCUUCAGGAAGACCAAGUGUAUUAAUAAAUUAAACAUUUUCUAAUAAACACUCUAACGCCUGUUUUAGCAAUCUGUCUGCUUAAGAGAAAAGGUUACUGACACUAUUAAGAAACUGGGAAACUUGUUUCUUUCCAGAUUAUUUACUGCUCAAAGGAUUGGAAAUCUAGUGACACAUAGUUUAGGCUGCAGACUUACAAACUGGCCACUGUUAUGCUCACUGUGACUGUAUUUAAACUGGGGAUCCACAAGCACCAUGUUCUAUUUCAUCAUCCAGUCUCUUAAGGCUUUUUUUCCCCACAGCAGUUAGGCAAUGCCUACAUCCAUUUCAGUAGCAGGAGUUUUUUCAUACAGUCAGAUUUUAUUCCUAUUUUUGAACCACCAAUGCUAACUAAGCUGAUUUCUUCAGUGAAUUGCAUAAAAAAUUAAUAAAUUAGCCUUGGAAAUAAUUCUAAUUUUUAAAAAUUUUAUAAUACUCCUAUUUGAAGAUUUAUGGAUAUUGGAAAACUUAAGGUUCCCCCAUUGUCACCCUAAAAUGAGCUCCUGAUUAGUACCAAUUCCUAAUUUUUUCAAAGUGUUUAUUUUAAUAACUGUGUUAACCUGGAGUUGCAAGGAAACUAGAAAGUGCUCUCUAGUCAGCAGCCGUGAUUGUGGCAGACUGCCAGGAUGUUUGUGACCUCUAGAAAUCCUUAAAGGUUUGAUCAGCAUUUCCUUUUCCAAAUACUCUGUUGUUUCUGUUUUAAAUUACAUCUCAGCGUCUCCAGAGUAGGUGAUGAUGCUAAUGUGAGCGAUACAACAGAUUGUUACAAGCAUCCUUGGAUUAUGAGAUGGGAAUAUCUUGACUUUCUAAACAAUGCUAGUGUUUAUUGUAUUAUAGUUCUGAAAUUAUUAUAGUAUUAUGCUGAUGCACAUUACACUGCUGCACGUCAAGCAUAUUCUUUUAAGAUCCAGUGAAUGGAAUUUAAGGACUGUCAAAGGCAAGGAAAGACAAUACAUGACUGUCCCCAAUUAUGUGUCAGGAUGAGAAUGCUAUUUUAACCUUCACAUUAUGUUGCACUAAAUCCUAAAGUCAGAAGAUACAAAUUUGUUGACUUUUAUGUGCCUGUAGAGUUAAUAGUUCCCACAAUUAUAAAGUGUUGUAAAUAAUGGGUGAAAAAUCAUGCUGUUGCUGCUAAAAUACAUUUGUUUGCUUCAAAAUGUGCAAUGAGUUCAUCUAGGGCCUCUUGUAAUUGUAGCUGCAGAAUAUAACAGAAAAAUUAUCUCUCAGAAGGCAUUUUUUGUUCAUAUAUUCAUAAAAAGGUUUUCUUCCCCUCUAACACUUUAAGGCAAGUUGAUAACAAGACAAGGAUUCCUUCCAUAGCUGAGGAAAAAUCCUCCAAUGUCAAUGCUGCACAGAGAUUACAACGUGCUAUGCAUGUUACACAUUGCACAGCACAUGUGGGGAUAUAGAUCAAUGUAUGUAAACUGUGGCAGCUUAAACACACUCUGUGUAAGUGGUCUAAUUCAGAAAUUUGAAGUGGAAUGUCAUACUCCAUUGUAGAACACAUAUAGGCUUGCAGCUACCCCAAAGUGAUAAGAACAUUAAAGUAUGUAAGAAAACACAAUUAUUUGUUUAAAAACCCCAUAUUUGUUAUUCUAAGUCAAGUAGCACAACUUGAAGCUUUCAGAAAUUCAUAACGCUUUUUCAGCUAGAGUUGGUGUUGAAGCUGAGACAAACAUAUGCUGUCUUUUCCCAUAUCACCUUUGUGGAUCCUUAUGCUGCAAUGACAUUUUAAUGGGAAGUUGUUUUCUUCCAUGCAUUUAUAUGUGUUUUCAUUGAUUUUUUAAAUUAAUGAUCACCUCUAAACAAGUAUGAUUUUUUUUCUGUAAAUUACAGAGCAUCACAUAAAUUUAUAUAUAGUCCAGAAUCCAGCAUCAGGUAUUAACUAUUUCAUUUCAACUCCUUUGCCAGGAUUUCUCUAGAAUACUUGCCUUGUCACCAAAACUGUGGCAUAUCUUCAUUACAACUGUCAGGCACAGGCAGAAUCACAAACAUGAAGGAAAAAAAUGCUUUGAUGGGCAAGAAAGAGACUGGGAGAGAGAGUACUGAAACAGUGGUAUCAUCCACAAGAUACUCUGUGGGGUGUGGAGAAUGAGAUUUUGCCUGGCCUCCUGGCUCAGUCAUUAAGUUGUUAUUACAUUGUAUGUAUGAUGAUACUGGUAUUCAGGCUUAUUUUUGCUUACUCAUUUUCUGAUAUUAUUGAACUGCGGCUUAAAAAGAAAAAUAUAAUAUAGUUAUUAUCCUAACCUCUACUGAAUGAGUUAGGUUGAUACAAGGUCAAAAUCCAUUCCAGGUAAUUUUACCAAUGUGGAUAAUGAGCGUUCUGCAGAUACAGCUCUGUUCUGAAAGUUCAGUGGCCUAUGCAGGCUGCUCCAGGUGCACCACACUACCUAGCUCAGAAAUUUUGAAUUUUUUUUAAAAAACAAUCUCUGGAACAUCUUGAAUAGAGCAGACUCUUUCCAUGUGCCUUCUGACAUCUUCUUUGUGAAACGUGGCUGUUCAUUGUCAUCUUCCUUUGACAGCUUCUCUCAUCUCCUAUGUUCAACACAUCCGCUCUGAGCAAUUUACCUUUUCAUCUGGAAUUUCUUUAUGUUAAGGCUAUGCUGAUCCUCAUUCGUGAAUUGGAUCUGCCAGGCUGGCUGAUAUUGGAUCCUGCAGUUUGCCAACCCUCGUUUGCUCUGACUGCUGGCGAUAGCGGUGCGCACCACUUCAGGCAGCAGUGGCAGCAGCAAUCUAUGCACGCCAGUUGUAGGUAUCUGAACAUAAAUAUGAUAAUGCUGGACCACAGCCAGCUCUGCUCUGGCUUCUGCAACACUGUUCCACAAUAUGAAGCACAAAGAUAAUCUGAUGCUCAGAGGUGUUCAGCUUGCAGGCAGGCAGACUGGAAAAAAGCUCAGCUUUGCUGAAAUGGACACAGCUCCAGCUGUGAGGCCUCAUCAUUUCUUAUAUGGAGGGAGUGUCAGGAACUGUUUUGACAUAAGAAUGAAGUCCAUGUUUUAGUCCUGUGUACGAUGUAAAAAAGCUCUCCGUGUCUUAAUCAGGGGAUAGCUGGUGACAAUGACAGUUAGGAGCUUUCACUGGUAGAAAAUCCACAGGACAGAGUAAGCAGUCUGCGUGCUGCUCAGUUAUCUCACACAGGUCAAAUCUAGGGAAAUCCAUGGCUGCAAGUUACUAUGAGGACAGUUCUAAAGGAUUCUUCAGAUGAUGGAGUAUUGAUCCAGACAUCCUGACUGCCAGGAUUCAGUCAUGCAUGUGAUAUUGGACUAUGACAUGCAAAUGUUCUAGUUUUAAUUUACUGGAGUGAUAAUUCAGAUUAAAUUAUUCCUCUUCUGUUAAUUCCUUCCAAGCUGACAAGACUUGUCAGGAUCUAUAUGAGAAGAGUUUUCUUAAAGUUACCAGCUCAUGGUAACCAACUUGCAGGGUGCACUGAUCUCAAAGUCUAAAUAAGCUACAGGUAUAUGGGAGAAGUUAAUCCAUUUCUACAUACAGAGAUUUCCCAUAGGGAAAUAUGCUCUUAGGACUUUGCCCUUUGUAGUUUGCUAGUUAGCCUCAGGUUGCUUUACACCUUUGCAUCCUUGAAGCUGUGCAGUACCUUCCUUCCCCUGAGUGUCACAAGCCAUAAAGGAGGAUUAAUGCAGCUUUUGAACUGCAUUAACUAUUGCAAACAUUUUCCACCUGGAAGCUUCUAGCACACACUUAAUAUCAUGUAAAGUAGAAAUAAGAAUAAUUAGCACCUAAUAAACUGUCUGCCAAGUUUUGAGCUUGUAUUUCCCUCCAUGAUCUGACCUUCUGACAUAUUCUGACUACUUCCAGACUUUCCUGGCCAAUAAUUUAGACACUACAAAGCAGGCAGACGUAUACCUGAGAAGUAAGUUCUUUGAUCCACACGGAAAAGGAUGUACCAUAGAUUAUCCUAUCCCUCUUUUCUUGUUUUCCUGGCAUUCCCAGACUUUGAUGACUACAUCUCACUGUUUGAUGAUUACAGACUCCCAGAGCAGCAUCUCAAUACUUAUGUGAUUUAUGGAUCCAAACUUUGUGCUAACAAUGCCCUGUAGCAUUUUAUUGUGCUCACUAAAUAACUCGAGGUUUAUUGUUCUUAAAAGAGAACAGGGGUAAUGUAAUUUUUAUUUUGUCUUGCUGUCUGUUACUCCCUCCAGUAGCUUUUUACUCCUUUGCCCUUUUUGGUGUUAUUGAGAUCUCAAGGAUGAGAUGUUUCUACAGCUGUUAGGAAAACAAAUGGCUGAAUGGAGACAAAAGGCUGCACCACAAUCUUUAUAGUUGUUUGCUUGGCUUGUUCUGCUUGCUAACCAGUCUGGAUAUAUGGGCAACUCUGAAAAAAUCAGAAAUCAUUCCCUGACCAAACAAAAUCAAGGAACACAGGAGGAACCUGAGGUACUGCAUGUGGGUUAUUGAGAUGCAGAGGGGCUGAGGGGAGAGGCACAAUCCUCCCUCCUCCUGAUGAACAGACACCAGAGGUGGUAAAGAGGAAAGGGAAAGUUUAGUGUUAUUCCAGUGGACAAUUUCAGCAGAGUAAAGCACUAAGUUACAGAGACCAGAUUUUCAUGGACCACUUGUCUUCCUUUCUAAAAAUGUUUGGGUGAUUUUGACACUUAUAAGAUCUGAAAAUCUCUCCUUAUGCAUAGGGCAGAUAGGUGAUUCACACUUUGCAGCACAGCUCUAGUUCUGUGUCUCUGGUUCCAGAAACAUCUUCCUCUAUCUCCCUAUGUUUGUAGAAAUGAUGGAAAAGGUGUCACCUAGGAAAUAAAGUGUAGCUUGCAAAUAAAUAUUUCAAAGCAGAUUUUCACAAGGAAAUGUUAAUGGCUCUAAAAUGCUAGACUAUGACAAUACAAGGUCAUCAUGUUAUAAACUGAUACAUACACACAUUUGUAUGUGUUUGAAAGGAACCCUGCAGCACUGCUGUUCCUUACUGUAAUUUUGUUACUCUGAGAGGAAAUAAACCUAAUAUAUUUGCAUAAAGUUAUUUAGCUCUCAUUAUGAGAGGCAUAGGAUCACAGUCAGAAAAAAAUUAGUCAGCUAAUUAUUAGAUUAGUGCAUAAAAUUAUUAAUAUAAUGAACAAACUGUAGAAAGAGACAGCUUAAUAGUAUAAAUUGUAGAGUAUAUGCUUAU